rnacentral:rRNA from 1 species
GACGAACGCUGGCGGCGUGCCUAAUACAUGCAAGUAGAACGCAGUUGCGAACGGGGGAGGAACGCGUAGGUCACUGCCUGGUAGCGGGGGAUAACUAUUGGAAACGAUAGCUAAUACCGCAUACUACCAGAUGGAGCUGCGUUGUAUUAGCUAGUUGGUGAGGUAACGGCUCACCAAGGCAACGAUACAUAGCCGACCUGGGAGGGUGAUCGGGCACACUGUGACUGGGUGACGGGCCAGACUGCGACGGGGGGCAGCCGUAGGGAAUUUUCGGCAAUGGGGGGAACCCUGACCGGGCAACGCCGCGUGAGUGAAGAAGGUUUUCGGAUGGGAAAGAUCUGUUGUUUAGGAAGCGGUACUUAACCAGAAAGGGACGGCUAACUACGUGCCAGCAGCCGCGGUAAUAC